rnacentral:rRNA from 1 species
UGAAAGUCUGCAGCUCAACUGUAGAAUUGCCAUUGAUACUGGUUGUCUUGAAUUAUUAUGAAGUGGUUAGAAUAUGUAGUGUAGCGGUGAAAUGCAUAGAUAUUACAUAGAAUACCAAUUGCGAAGGCAGAUCACUAAUAAUAUAUUGACGCUGAUGGGCGAAAGCGUGGGGAGCAAACAGGAUUAGAUACACUGGUAGUCCACGCCCUAAACGAUGAAUGUUAGUCGUCGGAGAGCUCGUCUCUUCGGUGAUGCAGCUAACGCAUUAAACAUUCCGCCUGGGGAGUACGGUCGCAAGAUUAAAACUCAAAGGAAUAGACGGGGACCCGCACAAGUGGUGGAGCAUGUGGUUUAAUUCGAAGAUACGCGAAGAACCUUACCUGGCCUUGACAUUGAUAGAAUCUGCUAGAGAUAGCGGAGUGCCCUUCGGGGAGCUUGAAAACAGGUGCUGCACGGCUGUCGUCAGCUCGUGUCGUGAGAUGUUGGGUUAAGUCCCGCAACGAGCGCAACCCUCGUCACUAGUUACUAACGGUUCGGCCGAGGACUCUAGUGAGACUGCCUUCGUAAGGAGGAGGAAGGUGAGGACGACGUCAAGUCAUCAUGGCCCUUACGGCCAGGGCGACACACGUGCUACAAUGGGAUGUACAAUGAGACGCAAUACCGCGAGGUGGAGCAAAUCUAUAAAACAUCUCUCAGUUCGGGUUGUAGUCUGCAACUCGACUACAUGAAGCUGGAAUCACUAGUAAUCGUAGAUCAGCCAUGCUACGGUGAAUACGUUCCCGGGUCUUGUACUCACCGCCCGUCACACCAUGGGAGUUGAUUUCACCCGAAGCGGGGAAGCUAAAC